rnacentral:lncRNA from 1 species
GUAAAGAUGAUCGUGCUGGAUGCUGUCUUCAUCAUUGAGUUUUUGAAGGAUUCAUAUAAUGAUGACUUUCCUCAAAAUCUUGAUACCAGGAUGAUAUCUUGCAUAGGAGAAGACUUGAUGCUACUUGAAAACCAACUACCUUUCUCCGUUAUCGACUCUAUAUAUAGCGAGUUUUAUUACCCUCGCCAAGAUGAACCAAACAUUCCUUUUCUUGAUCUUGCCACCCGUCAUUUUGAAAAUUACCCAUUUGCACAAGAGCCAGAAUCCACACCACCGACAGAUGCAAGGCAUUUAGAAUCCACACCACCGAGGCAUUUCACUGAUUUACUAAUGAAAUUAAUGUUGAAAGGAGCUGCCCUCGGGCGAGACAAUUGCUCUAAGCCUAUCAAGCUGAAAUAUAGCGCCGUCACGCUUCGCAAAGCAGGAGUGAAGUUUCAGGUCACCGAAGACAAGUGUUUGUUCAACGUGCAUUUUGAGAACGGAGUGUUGAAGAUACCACUCUUGGAAGUUGAUGAUUCCUUGGAACGUUUUGUACGAAAUGUCAUGGCCUGGGAGCAGUGCUACAAACCGAGUGAAGCUUACAUCAGCAACUACUUUAAGUUUAUGGACUAUCUUAUUGACAGGGCAGAAGACGUGGCUUUGCUAGCUGAAAAGGGAAUUAUUAAGAACUGGCUAGGUGACGACGCCGCAGUUUCAAAGUUGAUGAACAAUCUUAGCCAACGUUGUGAAAAAACUUCUUAUUAUAGUGAUAUCUGUCGAACGCUGAAUGACUACUAUGAGAACCCCUGGAACCGUAGAAGGGCAACCUUGAAACUUGUUUAUUUCAGCCAUCUUUGGAGAGGUACGGGAACUGUUGCUGCAGCUUUCCUUCUAAUCCUCACUUUGAUACAGACUAUAACUUCCCUGAAAUCGUCAUUCUAGGAUUAAAUCUUGUUUAGUUUUAUUAAUCCCACACAAUAAUUGAUGGGAUUGUUAUUGUUGUAUUCCUUGGAAAUUGUUGUUUUAAUUUUAGUUCAAAGCUUGCGCAGUUCUAAAUGUAGCUAUUUCAUGUUGUAUUGUCCUGAAACUGAUUCUGUACUUGUUCCCUGUGUGAUGUCCUUUCCUCUCAAAGCUCUCUUCUUUUAAGCUCUUCUUCUGAUUAAAUAAAGCUGAAGAAUGCAUGAUCUCAAUUUUCACUUGAUCAUGGCGACUGUGAAGCCUUAAAUCCUAAAACUAGUCGAAUUAUGCCAAGUAAAUACCACAAGUCAAUAUCGGCAUUUCCAGAUUCAUAAGCUAUCGACCUCACAACCAGGAUUUCCUGAAGAACUUCCAUCAAUGUCAAUUUCAUUGCAUCCUGCGGAGGACCUAACCAUGAAACCGAACAGUUUUCUAAUGAACAACUAGGUUUGAACCCCUCUUUUGCAACCAAAGAAAAAAAAAAACAUACUGUGGUUUCUCUGGGUCAAUCUUGUUGCUCUCCGACAAGCAUUUUGAUCCGUGAUUCCUUGACGCCAUGCUCAUUCAUCAACCACAGCUCAAAACUGUCGUCGUCGUCAAGACCACAAGAAUAGAUGGAGUUUUCAUAAACUCCAAUUUCUAUAUCCCAGCAAUAGUUAUCCAGAGAGUGAGAAUGAUCUAAAUUUCUCGUUUCCAAGAUCAAAUGCACAUAUUACAGAAUCAAUGUUAAUGGUUUCAUAACGAUCAACUAUAUAACAUCCAUAAAUGAACAUGGCAAAAGAAGGCCAACAAUCUGGGUAGCCUUGACAGCCGAGGACUUCUCCAGGUGCCAGUCUCGAUUAUGAAUACCUUAGCAGGAAUUCAGAAGAAUCUAUUGACUCAUAAACUCUAAUAACCUUAUCAAUUUAUGUUGUUAAUUUGUACACGAUCCAUGGCCUCUAUAAAUUUAUUUGUACCUCUAUAAUAUAAUGUUUCCAAAAAUUUCAAUGUCACCCUAAACUAAUAAUAAAACCCCAAUCCCUUUUGAGAGCCGAAUGCCUAUCAUCUCUACCGUAGGCGUCGAAGAAGAAUAAUAAUAAAAAAAAGCCCCGAAAAAAGAAGAAAAAAACAUGAAUGGAGUUUUAAACAACCCGUAUUUUGAAUUUUCUUUUUUUAAAAAGGUUUUCAAAUUUUUUUAGAUAUUACUGCACAUUGAAGAUUGGAGAUAAAUUUUUAAAAAUAUAUAUAUUAAAAAGAUCAGAUUUUUCUUUUUGUUAGUUACCAUGUGUUUAAUAUUAAUGUGUAAAAUACUUUUUAAAAGUGUUUUUCAUUUAAAAUUACAUUAAAACAAUUUUUUUCAGAUUUUUUAUAUCAAAACCAUUAAAAAUCACUAAAAACAAUAUCAAUUUGAUAUUUUUACAAGUUAAACACAUUUUUAAAACGUACUAGAACAAAAAUAAAAAUAAACAAUCUUUUAAUCUUUUUAAAUUUAUAAGAUAAUGUUUAGUUGUUGUCUGAGACAAAAAAGACAUAAACAAAGGAGAUAAGAUAAAAAAAAAAGAAAAAAAAGACAAAGAUAAAAUUUUGUUUGAUAGUAAUGUACACGAUAAAUUAAUCAUUUAUGUAUUCUGUUUGGUUAUGGUAGAUAAAAUAAAAUAAAAUAUGAAAAAAUCUAUUUUACCUUGUCAAAUGUAUUAUUAUUAUUUUUUACUUUAGUUUAUAUUGAGUGUUGAAAUUAAUAAUAUUAUAAUAACAAUAGUUAUAAAAUUAGAACUGAUUUGAUAAAAUGACCCGAGGCUUGGAUUGAUCCGAGUUUAAGAUAAAAUAGAGGAAGGAUAACUUGGUUGUUCAAAAACCCAAGUAAAAAAUCUAGGGACUUUUUUGAAGAAAAAUUAAUCAAAACAAGGUUGCUUUGAUAUUAAAAAAAAAAUUAUGUCAAUUAAUUUGACCCUCCCAACUUGUGACCUCAACCUUGUCUCGGAUUGACUAUCGAGCUAGGUUUUAAAAUUAUAAUAAUAAUCACUUUUAUCUAUAUAUUGACUUGAGUCAAGUCGUAUUGACUUUUCUUGCAAAAGAUAAAAGACACAUUUUAUUAUGAAUUUGAAAAUAAAAUUAUUAUUUUGCACCUCAAUCAAGUAACAUUUAGUCUAGCUUAGAAAGGUAACAUGGUAUUUUUUUAUAUGAAUAAUGAAAAUAUUAAAAUGCUUUUAGAGACCAAAUAAAAAAAAUACAUGCCUUCAACCCAGGACUAUUUUCAGUUUUUUAUAUAUAUAUUUGAAUGUAUAGUAAUAUUACUUAAAUUCCUUUUAAAUCAAUCAGAUAAAAAUCAUUGAUCAAGGGGUAUUUAUAUCUUUUUCAAUUUUAUUUUUUUUCAAAAGCAUUAUUUUAUUUUAACUAGAAUUAAAUAAUAUUAAUUUUUUAAAAGUUGUUUGAAAAUGUGGCUCUUUUUAAUAGUAGAACUUGUCUUUUCAUUUGUCAUCAGAUACAUCAUCAUGUUUUUUUUUCUUAAUACAACAUGUAUUAUUGAUGGUUGAAUAGUUUGUUGUUGAUGAACCUUUAUUCCUCUCUUUUUUUUUCUUUCCUCCCAUAUAAAUUGCAGAUCGGUCUUUUUUGUUUUUAAUAUUUGUACUUCGAUCCUUCUUUUUUUUCUUCUAAUUUUUCUUCUUGGCUCUUUAAUAAGAAUUUUAUUUUCUUUCAAUUAAGUCCUUCAAUUUCAAUUUGCAAUAUAUUAUUUUUUUUAUUUUUUUAUUUUUUACUUGGCCCUUUUAUAAUUAUUUCUUUCAAUUUCACCCUUCAAUCUAAGUAUAUAUUUUUUCAAUUUUAACCCUUCCAAAUUCUCAAUUUUUUUUCAAUUGGAUCCUCAUUUUUUAAUUGUUUUUUUUUUGUUGUAGUUAUUUUUCUCUUCAUUUUAACCAUCCAAUGGAGAAUUGUGUUCCUUUUCUUUUAACUUCUUUUAUUUGUCCUUUGCCUUUUUUGUAUAAGUGUUAUUUCUUUUCGUUAUAGUCUUUCAAUUUUAAUUUUUCAUGUAUUAUUUUUUUAUUUGAUCCUUAUUCUUUUGAAUUUUGAUUUUUUUCUUUAUCUUUUUUAUAAAAGUUUUAUUGGUUUUUAGUUUUACCCUUUAAUCCAAGUUUAUGGUCUGUUAUUUUUUUUUUACCUUUAUCCUCAUUCUCUUUUUUUUUUUUAUUUGAGUUAUUUUUCUAUUCAAUUUAACCCUGCAAUCAAAAAGUUUUGAUUACCCUAUAAUUUAUUUUUCUAUUCAAACGAUUGCAUUAAAUAUUUUUAAAAUAAUUAAUUUGAUGCAAUUAUAUUAAAAAAAAAAAAAACAAACAAACAAACGUUUUAUUUGCAUUGCAAUUUUUUUUUUAAAUGUGCAUAAUAAAUUCAUAUAAAAUUAUUAAUAUUACAAUUAAAAGAGUCGAAUUUUAUUUGAAAACUAUGAUAUAAUUUAAUAAUUUUUCAAAGAGGAAAAGAAUAUCCCUCGAAUUUGAAAAAGGAUAAGGGUUCUCGUGGGAAGCCAUAAGCAACUGUGCUGUGUCGAUCGUGGAGGCUCUUAUUUUUCAAGGAGGUGAACUUAAUUAAAAAAAAUAUAAAGCAGUAAAAGAAAAGGGAAGCGAAGAAAAUCCCAAGAGCAAACUGAGCAGCCCUUUUGGGGUGCUCCUCUGCACAACACCAUCCUGUUUCUAUUCACCAAUUCUUUUCUUAUUUUUGCGAGUUUCUUUUCUCUGGUUGACGUGAACCGAACCACCAUUUCGAAACAACCGCUGAUUUGGCAAUUUCUUUGUUCUUCUUGGUUUUAGCCUUGGACAAGGACUCCAGCUCUAGGGCCAAACUUCUAUUCCGAAGCACAAUUCAUCUCUCAGAACUCCUAACACACUCUCACAGAACGUUGUUAAAACCAUUUUUUUACAAAAUUUAUUUUUAAAAAAAUUUAUUAUUUUAUGCUUUGAAAUCUUUUUAAUAUAUUAAUUUUAAAAAUAUUUUUUUAAAAAUAAAAAAUUAUUUUAAUAUAUUUUUAAAUAAAAAACAUACACAACCAAAAAGAAUGAUGACUGCCCAUCAUGACAUUUUGAUCUUCCAAACCAUUUCCAUCAUUUUUAGGGUUUAGUCAAAGCAUACAAAACAUGGUAGGCAAUAUACCAAUUGUGAUCCUUUAAUGUACAUGAGACUUCCAAAACUUGUCACCCAAAAUGGGUCACAGAUGGAAACAGGGGCCCAUCCACCCAAAAAAAUCUUGAUGGCUACAAACUCUUGGAAAGCAACCUCCCUCGUAGCAGAUCUAAAUUUUUCAUCUAUUCAUGUAAAACCAUCCAAGGGGUAGUUCUUCAGAAUCUCUGCUCUAUAUGUGUCUAGCCAAAAACUGUCAUUGUCCAAGAAAAUACAGGACAUAGGAAAGAUUUUACAAUAGAGAUGAGAAUCGACAGAAAUAUGCACGAAAAAAAACUGUAAUAUGGAAACCAACCAAAAAGGCUUCUUUCCAAGCACUGCACCAACUCUGAAGUGGUCAUAAAUGAUACGACUUUGAAUUUUCUUUCAAUGUUUGAAAGUAGAGUCAACCGAUCAAACAUUCUCCAAGGCAUCCUUUUUCAACUCUUCUGCACUCGGAGCAGUUUAUUUUUUUGAUUUUUUUACUUGGCCCUUUUAUAAUUAUUAUUUUCAAUUUCACCCUUCAAUCCAAGUAUAUAUUUUUUUCAAUUUUAACUCUCCCAAAUUCUCAAUUUUUUUUUCAAUUGGGUCCUCAUUUUUUAAUUAUUUUUUUUUGUUGUAGUUAUUUUUCUCUUUAUUUUAACCCUCCAAUGGAGAAUUGUGUUUCUUUUCUUUUAACUUCUUUUAUUUGUCCUUUAUCUUUUUGUAUAAGUGUUAUUUUUUUUUUUAUAUACUACUUCAAUUUUAAUUUUUCAUGUAUUAUUUUUUUUAUUUCAAUUUUCACCUUCAUUUUUUUAUUACUAUUUUUUAUUUUAGAUUUUUCUGUGUAGUUAAAUUUUUUUCUCAUUUUGUUCUUUAGUAUUUGUUGACUUGGUCCAAUUUUUUUUAAUUAGAUUAUAAUUAAUAUAAGUUAAAUAAAUCUUUUAAAUUUUUUUUUAAAAUAAAAAUAACCAUAUAAUUUAACAAUAAAAUAAAACAGGAGAAAGGGAAAACUUAUCGCAAUAAUUCUCCAUUGACUAGUAAAUAUAUUUGCCUUUGUGUAAUUGCCAUGAUUUGUAAUUACCAGUCCUUGCUUAUAUAUAUUUGGCCCAAGCAUGGGGUUGAUAAGAGCAGGAUAUCAUACAGGGAGAGAGAGAGAGAGGCUGCAAUAGGAAAGAGGCCGGCUGCUGCCUGGGAUCAUAUAUAACAGAUAUAGUCGUCCGAUCAUCGAUCUCUCCAAGGUCAGCCCUGGCUUACUAGUUUUUUUUUUUUUUAAUAUUUAUAUAAUUUUGAUAAUGCGAAAUGCUGAUGCUGGUAACCUGGUUCACUACUUAAACAACUGGUUCUUUCUACUCUGUUACUUGUACGUUCUAAUUAAAAACCAGAUGCUUUCUACCCGGACUUUUUCCCUGAAAAUUAAGGUCCGGGUACUGUAAUGAAGAACAGAACAGAACUAGUUUCGGUCUGGUUUUUAAUUAGAACGUACAAGUAACAGAGUAUAUAUAUUUCUAUGUUAAAAAUUAAUAUAAAUGAUAUCCUAAAGUUUUAUGUGAUAACAUAAACUAUUGUUAAGAUAUUUUAUUGAAACCCUCUUCCUAAAUUGUCUUAUUUUAACACUAGCUUUGUUUCAUGAAAAAUAGAAAAAAGAAAAAGUGAGGUAGUAUAGCAACCGAAUUGGGAUGUGUGUCAUGAAUUAGAAAACAACAGUAUCCCUGGUAGACAAAAACAACAUGGAUCAAAAAUAAUAAACUAAGGCAUCGUCAUCAUCAUGAUUAUGAGCAUCUUAGUAUCGAUUGAAGACGGUUGAUUGAAUUUAUUUUACUAUUAAUUUAGAUCUUCGUGUUAAUUUAUAUAUAUUUCGAUUAAUUUUAAAAAUUAUAAAAUUAAUAACCAUAUAAGUAUUUAAUGGUUUUGAAAUUUAUAAAUUUAAUAAUUACUGAAAAAACAAACUUAAAACAUCAGUUAAGAUAUAAUAUUUAAUAUUAGUUGAUCAAAACUUUAUGUACAUGGGUUGGGACUUGUUGUGAGGACCAAAAAGUAUAUUGUACUGGACAAAUAUCCAACGAUCCUUCUAAAAAUGAUGUUGUCUUUUAUUCUAGUUUUGGCAAGUUUUGAUUCAGACUUUCAUGCUUUACCUUUCUUUUUUGUAUUUCAGACCCUGUUUUUUUCUUUCAACUUGCUGGCACCAGCUAUUAUAACACACCCUCUCGAUUACUUUAUAUAUAUAUAUAAUAUACUAAAACACAUUCGCUGUAGUUAAAGCUUUUUUUUCAGUUUUUUUUGUGGCAGUUUUUUUUUUUCAUUUUUUUUUCCUGUUUUGUUUUUUUUUUUUAUGUCUAUGGGUUUUUUUUUUAGUUUUUUCUUUGUGUUUUUUUUAAUGAAUUUUUUUGUUUAAUUUAGUUUCUUGAUGUGAAAUUUUUUUUUUAUAGUUUAGUUUGUUAAUUUUUUUUCGUUUAUCCCAUUGAUUUUUUUUCCUAUUUAGUUAUCAAACUUUCAUAACGCGAAUCUCAGGUUUGACGGGUUAACCUGAUUUGAAGGGUUAACUCAGUUGAUUCAUAUUUUUUUUUCUUUUUCCUCAUUAAUAACAGGCUUAUGUCUUUUGUUUUGUUUUUGUUUUUUUUUAAUUAAUUUUUUUCUUUAGUUUAGGUUGUUAAUAUUCAAUUUGUUUGCUAUUUAGUUAUUAGACUUUCAUGACACGGAUCCCAGGUUUGACAGGUAACCUGGUUUGACGGGUUAGUCCGGUUAAUUCUGAGUUAACCCGUCAAUUUUUUUUCUAUUUAGUUAUCAAACUUUCACGACACGAAUCCAAGGUUUGACGGGUUAACCCAGUUAAUUCAGAUUGUUUCUCUUUUUCUUCAUUAGUUUUUUUUUCUUUCUAUUGGUUUUUUAUUUUUAAUUAAUUUAUUUAAUUAUCACACUUUUAUGACAUGACCUUGCAGCCAGAUCCGCAUACAAGGCUAUUGGGUCUGGUAUUUUUUUUUUAGCAGGUUUUUUUUGUUUCUUUUUUUAGCAUGUUUUUUUUUUGUUUUCUUUUUACAUGUUAUUUUUUUUUCCUUUUUUUUCCCCAAAAUUGAUUUCUUCUUCUUUUUUUUGUUUUUUUUUUAAUUUUUUUAUUUCAAAAUUAUCUUUGCUAAUUUUUUUAAAUAUUGAGCUGGUUGAAAAUUUAACUAUAUAGUUUUUUUCUUUAAAACAUUGUGGAUUGCUAUAAUAUUCUCAUACAUUGUUUUCUUUUUUUUACAAAAUGAUCUUUGUAGAUUUUAUUUUUUUAUAUUAAGUUGGUUGAGAAUUUAACUUUGUAUUUUAAAAAAAAAAAAAACAAUAUUGAUUGCUACAAUGUUUCCCCUACAUAGUUUUUGCUUUGCUGCAGUGUUUCCCCAUAUAUUUUUUUAAAAAAUUAUCUUUAUAGAAUUUAUUUUUUCAAUAUUGAGCUAGCUGAUAAUCUAGUUUAGCUUUCCCCACAUGUUUUUUUUAUUUGUUUUUCUUUUUUUCCAAAAUUCUCAUUUUUUACAUGUUUUUUUUUUGUUUUUUUUUUUUCAGAAUUAUUAUUGUUGAUUUUAUUUUUUUACUAUUGAGUUAGUUGAAAUUUUAGUUUUUUUGUCUUUUUCUUUAAAACACUGUAGCUUUUCCUAUGUGUUUUUUUUCGCUUUUGUUUCCUUUUUUUUCAUUUAUUUUACCUAAAAUUGACUUCUUUUUUUUUAAAAUAGCCUUUGUCGGUUUUUUUUUAUAUAUAUAUUAAGCUGAUUGAGAACUUAGAUUUGUAGCUUUAAAAAAAAAAAUACUAUGGAUUCCUACAGUGUUUCCCUUACAUGAUUUUUGUUUGACUGCAAUGUUUUCCCCACAUGUUUAUUUUUUAUGACCUGCGGGUAUCAAAGCUAGUAUAUAUAUAUAUGAGAAGUCGUAGAUUGAACUGCAUUCUCAAUCCAAAGAAAUUGAAUAGCAUAACUUAUUACUUAGGACUAUUUCAUGCACAAUUUUAACUUAUGUUCCUUCUUGAUCAUGAUCUCUUAAUGAAGGAGAAAGGACGGGAUUUAAAAGUUUAGAAAUUAUGCUAUGCAUACAAAUAAAUUAUAUUAGAUUUGUAGUUGCAUUAUUGUGGUUAGUGAUGAGCAGUGAAAUACAAGUCUCGAGAAUAUAAAACAAUUGGACACGAAUGAAGAGAGCAAUUAUCACAUUUUAUACAAGAAAUUUAUACGAUUUUCUUAUAGAAUCGCUCUUAAGAUUUACAUGUUGGCAAAAAGUGCCUUAAUAUUGUGAAAUAAUAAAGAAAUUGCUACAUUAUUUUUGUUAAAAUAUAUCUCAAAAGUGCCUUAUUCUGGAACGAUACACCUGCCAUUCAUUCUUGGUUUUGUUUUGUUACCGAUCCAGAAUGGGAAAGGAUAAAUUUACUGCAAGUGAUUCAAACAUGAAAAAUGAUGUUGAAAGGGAAAGUGCAUCGAAUAUUGAAGAGGACAAGGCAAGUGCUUCAGACAUUGACGAGGAUACUAACAAGGCAAGCGCUUCAAAUAUAAUGGACAGAGGAUAUGAUAUUAUUGACGACGCAGAACGGGAAUUUCGACAUAUUUUGCUAGAGGUGGAAGAAUUAAUAAAGGAGUUGCCCCCUCAAAAGGACCGGGCUGAUGAAUGCUGUAUCUACAGGGUUCCCAACUCACUUCGAGCCAGAAAUCCGGAAGCCUUCACUCCACAGCUGAUUUCAAUAGGUCCUUUUCACUUCUAUGAUGAAAGACUAGUCGACAAGGAAACGAAAAGAAGAUUUCAAGGAGAGUUCUUUAAAAGGAAUGACAUGGAUGAGAAGAGAUUUAUAGAUUUUCUAAGAAGAAUUCAGAAAAAAGAAGAGAGUAUCCGACUCUGUUAUUCAGAGAGCUGCUUGUGCUUCGAUAAAACAGAACGUUUUGUAAAGAUGAUCGUGCUGGAUGCUGUCUUCAUCAUUGAGUUUUUGAAGCAUUCAUAUAAAGAUGACUUUCCUCAAAAUCUUGAUACCAGGAUGAUAUCUUGCAUAGGAGAAGACUUGAUGCUACCUGAAAACCAACUACCUUUCUUCGUUAUCGACUCUAUAUAUAGCGAGUUUUAUCAAGAUGAACAAAACAUUACUUUUCUUAAUCUUGCCACCCGUCAUUUUGGAAAGUACCCAUUUGCACAAGGGCCAGAAUCCACACCACCGACAGAUGGAAGGCAUUUCACUGAUUUACUAAUGAAAUUAAUGUUGAAAGGAGCCCUCAAGCGAGACAAUUGCUCUAAGCCUCCUAUCAAGCUGAAAUAUAGCGCCGUCACGCUUCGCAAAGGAGGAGUGAAGUUUGUUCAACGUACAUUUUAAGAACGGGGUGUUGAAAAUACCACUGUUGGAAGUUGAUGAUUCCUUGGAACGUUUUGUACGAAAUGUCAUGGCCUGGGAGUACUGCUCCAAACCGAGUGAAGCUCACAUGAUCAGCAACUACUUUAAGUUUAUGGACCAUCUUAUUGACAGGGCAGAAGACGUGGCUUUGCUAGCUGAAGAGGGAAUUAUUAAGAACUGGCUAGGUGAUGACGCCGCAGUUUCAAAGUUGAUGAACAACCUUAGCCAACGUAGUGAAAAAACUUGUUAUUAUAGUGAUAUCUGUCAAACGCUGAAUGACUACUAUGAGAACCCCUGGAACCGUAGAAGGGCAACCUUGAAACUUGUUUAUUUCAGCAAUCUUUGGAGAGGUACGGGCACUGUUGCUGCAGCUUUCCUUCUAAUCCUCACUUUGAUACAGACUAUAACUUCCCUGAAAUCGUCAUUCUAGGAUUAAAUCUUGUUUAGUUUUAUUAAUCCCACACAAUAAUUGAUGGGAUUGUUAUUGUUGUAUUCCUUGGAAAUUGUUGUUUUAAUUUUAAUUCAAAGCUUGCGUAGUUCUAAUGUAGCUAUUUCUUGGUGUAUUGUCCUGAAACUGAUCCUGUACUUGUUCCCUGUGUGCUGUCCUUUCCUCUCAAAGCUCUCUUCUUUUAAGCUCUUCUUCUGAUUAAAUAAAGCUGAAGAAUGCAUGAUCUCAAUUUUCACUUGAUCAUGGCGACUGUGAAGCCUUAAAUCCUAAAACUAGUCGAAUUAUGCCAUGUAAAUACCACAAGUCAACAUCGGCAUUUCCAGAUUCAUAAGCUAUCGACCUCACAACCAGGAUUUCCUGAAGAACUUCCAUCAAUGUCAAUUUCAUUGCAUCCUGCGGAGGACCUAACCAUGAAACCGAACAGUUUUCUAAUGAACAACUAGGUUCGAACCCCUCUUUUGCAACCAAAGAAAAAAAAAACAUACUGUGGUUACUCUGGGUCAAUCUUGUUGCUCUCCAUGACAAGCAUUUUGAUCCGUGAUUCCUUGACGCCAUGCUCAUUCCUUGGCGGCUAUGUAUUAGGUUUCACUAAUAAUCUGAUUCAUUUUCCAAACUACAAGCAAAAUAUUUGACAUUCAGAAUGCGAAUCCCAAGAUUAUCAUCAGCAGAAGGUAAAUAAAGUGCAUUGCCCUGCUUAAAAAACCUGAAGCAGCACAAACAAGAGCAGGCCAUGACAAACUAAGCAUGGUAGGGAGGGUUGUUUUAAGUAGUGAUUGGCGGAUACGAUGAAUCCUUACCAGCUGAGCGACUACAAACGCACUGACAAGAAGAAGUCCAGGACGUUCAACAAAAGACCAGCUGCGGGAUCGUGUGACGAAAAUGAGGGCCUGGCUCACAAUACUCACUUGCAAGUACAAGGCCGCCAUCAUUUCAUAUUUGCCCUUAGUGCUCUCUCUUUCUCUUCUGUCAUUUUUACUCCGAAGAGAUUUGAACUCGAAACCUCUUGUACAAUGGAGCAAUAUGGAUAACAGAAUUUGGAGAACAUGCAUGCAUACAUAAUCUUUCUUGAAACCUUUUGUGAUUCUUGAGAAGAAAUUGUUGAUCUUGUUGCUCCCUACGUGCGGUUCCUGUGUUCAGAUUCAGUAGGUUAAAAAAUGUUCCUGAACUUGCUAAGAAGUUGCUUCUGUAAAAUUUGUGCACACGUUUUAAUGGAGAAGAAGAUAUCUUUCUCCUCCAUUCACACUCGAAGCUAAAGUAUUGCCCUUUUUUUAUUUAAUCUUUUCUUUUCCUUUAGAGAGGUUUAUUAGUUUAACCAUGAAAAUUAAAGUUAAACCACCUUCUUCUCUUAAUCAUCUCUUGUUGAUCAGGUUCCGGUUUAAGUAUUGAGAAUUUGUAUGAUGGGUUUUAGUUUUUCUGUUUAAAAUUUGUUUGAUGGGCGAGGUCAGUCCAUUCUUCGUGUGGUUCAAAAGCACCGUUAGCAUUAGCAGAAGGUUAGGUGGAAAAUCAUGGCUGCUUCAAUUUUGGUCAAAGCAAUUUUACAUGAGCAUUUGUUUACUAAUUCCUACUUGUUUGACAGGUUGAAAAUGGGCUCCACAGAUGCGACACAGUUGGUUCUUUCCUUAAUUUUCUUGGUCAUUUUAGGCUCAAAUCUCAUUGCAGGACAAACAUUCUCUUCAAAUUCUUCUGAGCCUGGUAAGACCUGAUAAUUUCAUUGAAUAAGGUUUUGACACUUGAAGUGGGCUUUAAUCCAAGAAUUCAAACUAGCCCUUUUCGUUAGUUGGAAAAAACUAAUUAGCCCUUAAGCUCUUGAUUGAUUUCUUGGUAUGUUUCUUGUUUUAUCAGAUACAUAUGUUCGUGAUGUAAACAAUGUGUCACAACCUAUGAUACGGUCAGAUAUUGAUACUGUGAGGCUGGAUCCACUUGAAAAUUUCAAGAAAUAUGAAGGAGGAUAUUGUUAAAUUAAUUGAGAUCAAACACAAAAUGGAGGCUAGAUUUCUGAAUAAUCUGUUUAUUAUGAAUGCUUAGUCUUAACCUAAUUACAAAUAAAGUAUAUAUAGGUUAAACUGAAUGUACUAUUCUACCCUUAAUAAAUAAGACAACAUAAAUAUUAUUUAACAUCUCCCCUCAAACUCACGAUGCGGCAGCUACAAGCAUCGAGAGUUUGCCAACUAGAAAACGAAAACGAGAUAUGGAAUGCGUCUUGGUAAAGAAAUCUGCAAUCUGCAAUGAAGAAGGAACAAAAGGCAAAGUAAUGGUUUCAUGCUUGGGAUGAUGACGAGUAAGAUGACAAUCGAUUUCAAUGUGCUUAGUCUGCUCAUGAAAAACCAAGUUGUGAGCAAUCUGAAUAGAACUCUGGUUGUCACAAUACAUAGGAAUAGGAUGGGAAAAGGAAACUGUCAUAUCAGCAAGUAACCAACGUAACCAAAUAAUCUCUUUGGUAGUAGAUGCCAUGGCACGAUAUUCUGCUUCGGUGGAUGAUUGAGAAACAAUAGAUUGUUUCUUGCUCUUCCAAGAAAUAAGAGAAUCACCUAAAAAGAUACAAAACCCGGUAACAGACUUGCAAUCUGUGGGAUCACUACCAUGAUCAGCAUCAGAGUAUGCACGCAACUCCAAGGAAGAGGUGGAUGAAAGUAAAAGACUUUGAAAAACUAUACCCCGAAGAUAUCGCAAAAUACGAAGAACAGCUGCCUAGUGAACAGUAGUAGGAGAAGCAACAAACUGACUAACAACAUGAACAGCAUAUGCAAUAUCUGGACGAGUAAUAGUGAGAUAUACCAAACUCCCAACAAUAGUGCGGUAUAAAGUAGGAUCUAUCAAAAGUAAACCAUCAGAAGAAGAGUACCUUGCGUUAACCUCAAUAGGAGUAUCCACAGUCUUGUUAUCAGUAAGUCUAGCCCGCUCAAGAAUAUCUGCAACAUAUUUCGACUAAGAAAGAAGGUAACCUCUAGGUGAGUAUGCUACCUCAAUACCCAUGAAAUAUCAAAGAUAACCCAAAUCCUUCAUCUCAAAUCGUCUAGCCAACUCUGUCUUCAAAACUGAAAUACCAUCAAUGUCAUCACAAGUAAUAAUCAUGUCAUCAACAUAUAAAGACAGAAUGAUACAACCUGCAUCAGUGCACUUAAUAAAAAGAGCAGAAUCAUGACUGUUAGAAACAAAGCCAAGUGACGAGAUCACAAUAGAGAAUUUCUCAAACCAAGCACGGGGUGCUUGUUUGAGACCAUAUAAUGCUUUCUUAAGCUUACAAACAUAUCCAGAGUCAUGUGAAAUACCAAGAGGGGGUGCCAUAUAAACUUCUUCUUGAAGAUCUCCAUUCAAGAAGGCAUUUUUAACAUCAAGUGAGAAAUAUGCCAUUGAUGAAUCGAAGCUACGGCAAUAAGAGUACGAAUAGUAGUUAUUUUUGCAACCGGAGCAAAUGUCUCCUCAUAGUCCAUACCAUACUGUUGAGAGUAUCCUUUGGCAACCAACCUAGCUUUAUAUCGCUCAAUAGACCCAUCAGAAUUAGUCUUGAUCUUAUACACCCAACGACAACCAACAACACUCUUACCAGGAGGUAGAGGAACCAGAUCCCAAGUAUCUGUCUUAUGCAAUGCAGAAAGUUCCUCAUCCAUAGCUUGCUGCCAAAGCGGAUCAAGAAUUGCCUCUUUAUAGGAAGAGGGCUCAACAAGACAAUGAAUAGAGGCUAAAAAGGAAGUAAAUGAUGAAGAAUAACAAGAAUAAGAAAAAUCUGGUAGUUUUGUGGACUUACGAAUACGGAUGGACUGACAUGGAGGUGGAUCCACAAUCUCAGAUGAAGCUUGAGAGGCUGUAAAUGAGAAUGGAGCUUCAGGUGUGCCAGAGAGUAAAGUACCAGUACCUGCAGAGUUAUGAAACUUGUUUGAUGGGCGAGGUCAGUCCAUUCUUCGUGUGGUUCAAAAGCACCGUUAGCAUUAGCAGAAGGUUAGGUGGAAAAUCAUGGCUGCUUCAAUUUUGGUCAAAGCAAUUUUACAUGAGCAUUUGUUUACUAAUUCCUACUUGUUUGACACGUUGAAAAUGGGCUCCACAGAUGCGACGCCGUUGGUUGUUUCCUUAAUUUUCUUGGUCAUUUUAGGCUCAAAUCUCAUUGGAGGACAAACAUUCUCUUCAAAUUCCUCUAAGCCUGGUAAGACCUGAUAAUUUCAUUGAAUAAGGUUUUGAAACUUGAAGUAGGCUUUAAUCCAAGAAUUCAAACUAGCCCUUUUCGUUAGUUGGAAAAAACUAAUUAGCCCUUAAGCUCUUGAUUGAUUUCUUGGUAUGUUUCUUGUUUUAUCAGGUACAUAUGUUCGUGAUGUAAACAAUGUGUCACAACCUAUGAUACGGUCAGAUGAUACUGCGAGGCUGGAUCCACUUGAAAAUUUCAAGAAAUAUAAAGGAGGAUAUGAUAUCAAAAACAAACAUUAUUGGAGUGUAAUUCCCUUUCACUCUCUCUUUAAAUAGAUAUUAAUUAUAGAAAAUCAGUUUUGCCACCAUAAUUUUAGCAUUUACUGAUGUAAUCCCAGAAGAUUUUCUUUAGUCUUGUAGCAUGGUAGUAUGGUCCUAAUGAUUUAGUUAUUUCUGAAAUUUUCGUAAAAGCUAAAAUCACAGAGAAAUAACAAGUUGUAUUUUCUGCAGUCAACCAUAUUUACAGGAGUUUAUGGAUAUGUCAUCGGGGUAAUCUGGCUUCUGAGUGGCAUAGCAUAUGGAGCCUUUCUGCUAGCAACUGCUUUCUGCUGUAAAACUAGAAGGUAUGGACACCUGAAGAAAAGAUUACCUUGCCACAAGCAAUGUUGGCCUGUUCUGUUGGCUAUAUUUUUCACUACCCUAGCAAUGUAAGUCCCACCACAUUCGCAAUCCAAAAUCCAAAUAACAUAAAUGCUGCAACAGUUCUUGGAGGGAAUGCGAAGUUCCGUUCACGAGCUAAAAAUGCGGCGGACAUCAUCAUUGACACGGCGAAUGACGCGUGGAAAACCAUGUACAACACAACAGGAGUAAUGAAAGACAUGAAAGAGAAUUUAGGAGUAUCUAAACAAAUGGCUGCCGCUAAGGCAUCUACCUUCCUUACCACCACAUCAGCGAAACUUGAUGCUGAAGCUGCUGAUAUACAGAGGAGAGCUCGGAAGAAUAGGCACUUGAUCGAUAAGGGUCUCAAGAUAGUGUAAGUUUGUCUCUCCCGUGCAAAUUAUGUAUAUCCAUGUCCAUUUUAGCUUGUCUAAAAGAUAGCUAUGAUACUUGCUGCAGUUAUAUUGUAACCACAGUGACAAUUUCCUUGAACCUGGCUGCACUAAUUGCUCUUUCAGGUAUUUCUCCCUAUGUGUCCAACUCCUUAGUCCUACCACACUUGGAAUUUAUAGUUUGGUCGAUACAACUUUUGAACCUUGUAAAACCAGAAUUGGGCAGGAAAAGUUCCAAGUGCUGGCAAUUUCUUAUUAUGUAGCACUUUCUUCGUCAUUAUGAUCAAGUUGAAUAUAUUUCUCAUUUUGUGUUUGAAUUCAUUCUAUUGCAGUCUGUGGAACUCUGAGGUUACGGCGACCACUGUACGUGUAAGUAAAAUAAACAACGCUUACAUAGCCGAACUAGAACAUUUCCUAAGAGAUUGAAUUGACUGUCAUGUACAUUUUCUUAUGAUUUUUCUCUAGCAGAUUAAUUGUUGUGUGUUGGAUCCUGACUGUUCUAUGCUGGCUGUUCUUUGGGCUGUAUUUCUUCUUAGAAAAGUAAGUCCAAGUUCUUUCCAUUGCUUCAAUUUCUCAAUACCAACUAAUUGAGGGAACAUGAACAUUUUUCUGCAGCUUUUCAACAGAUUCAUGUGCAGCUCUCGAAAACUUCCAACAGAAUCCUUACAACAACAGCUUGAGUUCAAUCCUUCCCUGCGAUCAAUUGCUCUCAGCAAAAGCAGUGUUAUCUGAUGUCAGUCGAGGGAUCUACAGACUUGUUAAUCAGGUUGAUUCUCAGGACAUUAUCUCCGAGUUGCAAUUUGUUUUUCUCCCCGUUUGAACCUUAUCGUUUUAUCAUGUGAUUUAUAUCAGAACUUCUUCUGCUGAAACAUUUCAGGUGAAUGCAAAUUUAUCAACCAUGCAAGGAGUACCUUAUACCGUUUGCAAUCCCUUCUCAGAACCACCUGAAUACCAAUACCAGCCUGAUAAGUGCCCUGCUAACACAAUCGGAAUCGGUGAGAUCCCACAGGUAUGUCAAAGGGAAGAUCAAAAAGUUUUUGUAGCCCCAAAUGUCUUCUCUCUUCAUGUUCACUAAAUGAAGUUCUAUUCCACUCUCCACAGGUAUUGAAGGUAUUUACUUGUUCCAGUUUCGACAAUGGAACAUGUGCCAACGGACAAUUCAUAUCGCCUAACUAUUAUAGAACAGUUGAGGCAUACAGCACAUCCAUUCAGAGCCUACUAAAUGUGUACCCUGAGAUGGAAAAUCUAGUACAGUGUAAAGCGGUGAAGGAUGCGUUUUCUGAGAUCCUAUUGUACCAUUGCAAACCAUUGAAAAGAUACGUUCGAAUGGUGUGGGCAUCAAUGGUGUUUCUCUCAUUAGUCAUGGUAUUUCUGGUUCUGAUAUGGACAAUGCUGGCUCAACAUGAGCAAGAACACCAUUCUUUAGACGGUUCUGUGAAGCCACGUUUGCCAUCUGUCGCAAAGGAAUUGGAAACUGGAACCAAAGAUAGCUCAGAACAUACUGUUUCAGUCUAGGAAGUAGCAACAUUUUACCUAGGAUACUACAUUAAAUUCUGGAAGAUCAAUGGUGCAAGCCAACUUCCAAGAACACAGGAUCAAGAAAUCAUGGUACGAUAUUGCUAGGUAGAUUAGAUACAUACCAACAAAGAAAAUUAGUGCAGAAUUCACUUCUUUGAUUGACUAUCAGACCCCAAAUCCGGGGCACAGAUUUGAAAACUUGAUGUACAUCCAAUUUAAUGUAUCAAAAACACUACCUUAAUAUAAUCAAACAUAAGCAACAGAUUUAUCAAUAACAAAAUAUAACAAAAAUUCGAUUCUUGUAUUGCAUCUCUUUCAACCAACCAUUGUUUAGAAGUCAAUGGAUGCAUUUUUCUUUUCAACUAGCAGUUACUUCAAAGUUUGAUGUGCUGUAAAAUACAUGCGUAUUUCAUUGGUUUAUAUAUAUAUAUAUAUAUAUAUAGUUGUUCGACUUAUCCGAAGUAUCACUUCAUAAACAAAAAUUACUUAGAUUGUGUUCGAAUAAUGCUCUAAAAAAACCACUAAUAAAAAUGUAAUAAAUAUGUAUUUAGUUAAGGAGAAAGAUGUAAAAAAAAAUAUAAAAUAAAUAUAUUUUUAAAAUUGUCUUGGUCAAGAAAUAAGCCCCUUGUAUUUCAUUGUUUCUAACGAAAUACUAUAUUGUAAUUAUCUUGAUCAAGUUUUGACUAGAUUUAAAAGAGUAAAUUAGAUUAUAUCAAGUUAUCUUUCUGUUUUGAUUGUAUAAAUGUCAAAAUUGGUUCAAAUAAAACAAAUUUAAGGCUGAGUUUAUUAACUAAGUCCAAAAAACAUAAAUGAUUAGGUUCCUACAGUUUUUAUUUUCCCAUUCCUUUUCAAUGCGGGGUAGCCAAAUGUGCACCCAACAAUAUCUUUGUGCUUCAUGUUCAUACCUUUUGGAUCAAAUUUAAAUUCAUUGCAAAAAUGCUCUCUUUUCAGGGGUUAGAGUUUACAGAAAGUUUUACAGAGAAGAGAAGGAAAGAUCCAACGGAGUCCUCGCUAUUUGUGUUGCAAAAUCAGCUGCCCAGCCCUGCCUUUCUUUGGCUAGAAUCCUCUCUGUGAGUCUUCUCGCUUAUUGUCCCGUGAUGAUCUUUAUGCAUAGCUGUUGAGUGGAAAGAUUUUCUCUUUUCAACGAGCUAUAACAAAGGAGGGAAAGAUGUAAAUAUUUCGAAAUGGUGAAAGACAAUCAAAACCUAAGCAGAGCAAAGGAGAGAUGCAAGAUUAGUUCUUGAUUACUUUUUCUCAAGUUUUUCUCAGUGAAACAUAACCAAAAUGCAGUACCAUUAAAGGAGAUCUUGCAUGCCUUUUUGGGUCUGCCACAGCUACCACAAACAUUCUGAGAUAUGCUUUCCAGGCAAAAUCAACUACCAUUGUUCUUUCUCUGAAUUGAAACGGCCAUACUAGAUUGGUACAGUGUUUUUAAUGUUGAUGUCAGUUCAUGAAAACAAAAAACAAAGUUCUAAAUUGUCACGACCCGAAUCUCGGAUCCGUGACCGGUAACGCAGGAGCGGUAUCGAAAGGACACUUCACCCACGCUAAGCCUCAAAACAGACAUAUCAAAAGUAUAAUUUAUUCAAAAAUACACAGCGGCUCAUAAUAUUCAGAAAUAUCAUAUUAUUCAAAACUGAUAAAACCAAAUGAUAGUUCAAAACUACUCAUCGGUAAUUAAAACAAAAAUAAUAAUUCAUAAUACUCAUUACUUAUCAAAAUCCAAACUUAAUUAAAACAAGGUAACAGUGGAGCGUCUAAGACAUCAAAUCAAAACUAAAAGGAAAGCCUCGUGAACAAGCAAGGCAUACCGACCAGAACUGAAGAAGCGGAAACACUCAACAAGGUCCCAGAAACUAAGAACCUGAAAUAAUAUAAAAAAUGAGAGGUGAGUUCAACCAACUUAGUGAGGGGAAUAACAUAUACAUUUCAUAUAUUUCAGAUAUUAUUUGCAAGAUGAUUUAUCUUGAUAUACAUAUACAUAUACAUAUACUUACUAAACAUAUUAUCAUAACGUAGCAUAUUAUCAUAACGUAGUGGAUUACAUGUCAGAGAUCAGAUGACACCCGAAGGUGACCAGAUGACACCCGUAGGUGACUAGAUGACACCCGUCGGUGACCAAAUAACACCCGUCGGUGACCACUGUGGGAUGAUCAAUCGCCACAGGCUGAUGCCUCUCUCACCAGCUAGGUAACAGAAUACUAUGUGCACACAGGCUAACUAUUCUUCGUUAGCAUGGAGUUACUGACAAGUCCCAUAUCAAGGCAUAAUAGAUAUUCACAGAAUCAUCAAAGAAACGUAUAUCAUAUCAAAUAGAAUUUACUUUAUCAGAUUGCGAGUGCAAAUUCAAGAAUAAAUGAGUACUCGGAAAAUAAAGCAACAUAUAUAAAUAUUCAAGAAAUUUACUAGUUGUACUCAUUGUAUAAUCAACAUACAUAUUUAUUUAUAUUAUAUGCAUAUUAAAGAUUAUUCCACUCACCCGGAAAAUAUAGAACUAAAAGGAAUGUCGGACGAAAGACCCGAAAAUCCUAUUAAGGAUCGUUAGGAGAACCUACAAUAAAUAUAUGAAAUAUACUAAAAAACAGAUCAAACAAAAGAUCCCAAUGCAUAAAAUAAACCAGGCUUAAUCUCCCAAGUUUAGGGACUAAAACGAUAAUUUUCCAAAACAGGGACCAAAACGUAAUUUUACCAAAAUUGGAGGGCCAAAUUGUAAAUACAUAACCAUACUGAAAUUUAUCCAUAAUUCGUCCUUAUCUUUGUCCAGAAUCUUGAAUUAUGCCCCAAGGUCCAAAAUGUGAUUUUAUCAAAAGUUAAGGGGUCAAAUCGUAAUUUGUCAAAUUGGAGGACCAAACUGAAAAUAUUAAUUAUACUGGAAUUUUGCCUUUAAAUCAUCCUCAGUUCUGUUCAGAACCUCAAUUUAUGCCCCAGGGACCAAUCUGUAAAUUUUCCAAAGUUCGGGGACUAAACUGCAAUUUCCGCAAAUUGAGGGACCAAACUGAAUUUUCGUCAUCUUCAACCUCAAACCCAGAAUUUCAAUAGAUCACCUACUGUUAUCCCCUGAUUUCUAACACAAUUUCACCAUUUAAACAAAAUCUUAACUCAAAAUCAUUAUCCUUCAAUUCAAUCUCUCAAAAUCAACUAAUUAAUCAAAUACCCACAAUAAUCAACUCCUAACCUUCAAAUUAAUUCAUCAAUUAACUCAAAAUACAAACUUCAAAACUCUACAAUUAAUCAAAACCGAAAUUUAACAUAUUAUACACUUAAAACCAUAAAUCUUACCUUUUUACUUAUUUCCUCUACUUCUCUUCUCCUUCCUUUCCUUCUCUCCUUUAUUUUCUUCUUCUUCCUCUUUCCCUUUCUCUCCCGUAGCUCUCUUUCUCUCAAAAUCAUAUCAUUCUUUUUCUUUUUCUUUCUUAUUUAUAUUUAUCAACUAUUGGUCAAUUACCACACUACCCUUCAAUCAUUUAUACCCUCUUUUUAAGCCUCCAAGGGCUUUAUUGUAUUUUCCAAUCUUUUUAAUACAAAACAUCACAAUAUCCCCACCUUAUAAAAGUUUCAUCCUCGAAACUUAAUAGAAAAGAUUGAAUACUUACCGAGAUUAUCGACAAGAUGAGGAUACUGUCGGCCUCCCUGUCCCCUGUUAGGACCUGUAUCAGACCACUGAUGAAAAGAGAACUGAUUUGCCACCUUGGGCCUCUUCACCGAACCCACUGAUAAUUCAUCCUCUAACUCUCGCGCCUCAAUAGCUCGGGCACGAUCCACUACGGCCGAGUACGUCUUAAACUCAUGAGCCCCAAUAGCUUUGAAUAGGUAGCUAUUAAGACCCCGAAUAAACCUCUUGAUCUUCCUCUCCUCGGUCGGUACCAAAUGCCCAGCAAAUCUGGACAACUGCGCGAAUUCCACUUCAUACUCUGUCACAGUCAAGUCACCCUGAACCAACUUCUCAAACUCGUAUGAUUUAGCUUCCCUCACACUUUCAGGUAGAAAACGCUCCAAAAACAUCUCAGAAAAUUCCUUCCACGCCAUCGGUGGAGAACUAGCUGCCCUUUCACCUUUUUUGGACUCAUACCAGUUCAAAGCCACCUCGCCUUCUAGCCUAAAAGAUGCUAAAGUCACUGCACGAUGAUCCGUGCACCCCAUGACCUAUUGGUCAAUUACCACACUACCCUUCAAUCAUUUAUACCCUCUUUUUCAGUUUUGUAGAUAUAUAUAUUUGAAUGUAUUAGUAAUUUUAGAUGAAUAAGAUAAAAAUCAUUGAUUAAGGGGUAUUUAUAUCUUUUUCAAGUUGGUUUUUCAUUUUUUCAAAAGCAUUAUUUUAUUUUAACUAGAAUUAAAUAAUAUUAAUUUUCAAAAAGUUGUUUAAAAAUGUGGGUCUUUUCAAUAGUAGAACUUGUCUUUUUAUUUGUCAUCAGAUACAUCAUCAUGUUUGUUUUUCCUAGGAGCAAAAGGAUUUGAAACAAUGGAAGUAACAGGAGGACUGUUCUCAGACACAGGAGCAAAAGGAUCUGAAACAAUGGAAGUAACAGGAGGACUGUUCUCAGACACAGUGUUUCGGAGCCUCACAAGAAGAUCUUUAAAGGGUGCUAGGAAAUUCUUGUUCAAGGCGACACAAAGAGAAGGUAUGUCUUGGGUGGCAUCGAUAUCUGAAGGAGGAAGUUCUAAAUUGUUGCAAAACUUUGAGAGAUCUGAAGUUCAUAUUGUGAGCUACUGCAAUUCCAGUUUCCAGUAUUCUCGUCAAAUACAAGAAAAAUCCUAUCGUUUGUACUUUCCAUAAGGAAUCUGGGAUGAUCUCUUAACUCUUCAUCAACCCUUCCAUUCUCAACGAGUAAAUUCUAUCAUUUAUGUUACAUGUUUCUUGAGAUGAAACAAACAUUCCAUAAACAUUAUCUAAAUGAUUGUUAACUCUAUAUUAUUUAAAGAAAUAAAGUUCGUUUUCAUGCAUUCCUCUAGUUUCUUGACAAGAGGAUAUUGAAUACUUGAUUUGUGGUAAAAAGAAGAAGAUUGGUGUGAAAUGUUGGCUUAAUUUAUUGAAUUGGUGGUAGAAACUUCAAGAUCAGUAAUCUAAUUAUCAUAAAUAUAUAAUAAUUUUAAACGAGGAAAUUCAAAUAUAGGGUAGCGAGCUUGGCAUUUCAAAUCAAAUCACGGCAAUCAACUUACAAACAGCUUGACUUGGUAAAACUCAAGCUCCAAGUGAGAUCUUAUUACGUCAUCUUGUUAGAUUCUUUUAAAUUUAUUUAUACAUCAUAUUAAUUAGUUUUUUUGGUUUUAAUUCUCAUCCAAGACAAUAUGAUUUGAAAUUGAAAUGGAAUUAAUGGCUCAAUUUGACAAUCCAACAACCUAAAUAAAAAAAUAAACUAAAAUAGAAAGGGAUGAGAACAAUUAAUUUAUUAUAACAAAAGAUACAAGACACAUUUUAUUAUGAAUUUGAAAAUAAAAUUAUUAUUUUGCACCUCAAUCAAGUAACAUUUAGUCUAGCUUAGAAAGGUAACAUGGUAUUUUUUUUAUAUGAAUAAUGAAAAUAUUAAAAUGCUUUUAGAGACCAAAUAAAAAAAAUACAUGCCUUCAACCCAGGGCUAUUUUCAGUUUUUUUUUUAUAUAUAUAUAUAUAUAUAUAUAUAUAUAUAUAUUUGAAUGUAUUAGUAAUUUUAGAUGAAUAAGAUAAAAAUCAUUGAUUAAGGGGUAUUUAUAUCUUUUUCAAGUUGGUUUUUUAUUUUUUUCAAAAGCAUUAUUUUAUUUUAACUAGAAUUAAAUAAUAUUAAUUUUCAAAAAGUUGUUUAAAAAUGUGGAUCUUUUCAAUAGUAGAACUUGUCUUUUCAUUUGUCAUCAUAUACAUCAUCAUGUUUUUUUUUCCUAAUACGACAUGUAUUAUUGAUUGUUAGGUAGUUUGUUGUUAGUAAACUUUUAUUCCCCUUUUUUUUUCUCUCUCUCCUCUCAUAUAAAUUGCAGAUCGGUCUUUUUUGUUUUUAAUACUUGUACUUUGAUCUCUCUUUUUUCUUCUAAUUUUUCUCUUUGGCUCUUUAAUAAUAAUUUUAUUUUGUUUCAAUUAAGUCCUUCAAUUUUAAUUUGCAAUAUAUAAUUUUUUUUUAUUUUUGAAUUUUUUUACUUGGCCCUUUUAUAAUUAUUUCUUUCAAUUUCACCCUUCAAUCUAAGUAUAUAUAUUUUUUAAUUUUAACCCUUCAAAAUUCUCAAUUUUUUUUUCAAUUGGAUCGUCAUUUUUUAAUUGUUUUUUCUUUUUUGUUGUAGUUAUUUUUCUCUUCAUUUUAACCAUCCAAUGGAGAAUUGUGUUCCUUUUAUUUUAACUUCUUUUAUUUAUCCUUUGCCUUUUUGUAUAAGUGUUAUUUCUUUUCGUUAUAGUCCUUCAAUUUUAAUUUUUCAUGUAUUAUUUUUUUAUUUGAUUCUUAUUUUUUUAAAUUUUGAUUUUUUUUUCUUUAUCCUUUUUAUAAAAGUUUUAUUGGUUUUUAGUUUUACCCUUUAAUCCAAGUUUAUGGUGUGUUAUAAUUUAUUUUUUACCUUUAUCCUCAUUCCUUUUUCUUUUUAUUUGAGUUAUUUUUCUAUUCAAUUUAACCCUCCAAUCAAAAAGUUUUGGUUACCCUUUAAUUUAUUUUUUGUUUUAAUUCUCAUUCUCAUUUUUUUAUUAUUAUUUUUUAUUUUAGAUUUUUUUGUGUAGUUAAUUUUUUUUCUCUCAUUUUGUUCUUUAGUAUUUGUUGACUUGGUCCAAUUGUUUUGUCCAUUUUUUAUCCAAUUCCAUGCUUUCAUAUAUUUAUUUUCUAUAGUAUUGUAAUCUUUUUUAAAAAAAAAAUUGUCUGAAUAAUAUCAUUAUCUAUUCUUUUAUUUUCUAAUUAAAAUAAAAUUAACUUAUCAAAGAUGAUAUGACAUGACAUGAGUUGUUGAUUCCUUUUCUUUUUUUUUUCCUGAAACGUGCAGAAAAACAUUAAAUUUUACACACAAAAAAACAAACCCACAACGUAGCGUGUACCAGAGCCUAGUUCUAGGCUAAAUGAGAACCCGAACCAAAUACAAUAACUACAAGUUUUCUGCACAUGCUACCAGACUACAUAUGACUAGUCAUGAUGGAGUAGCUUUGAUGGAGAAAGGAGCAAAAGGAUCUGAAACAAUGGAAGUAACAGGAGGACUGUUCUCAGACACAAAGAGAAGGUAAGUGUUGGGUGGCAUCGAUAUCUGAAGGAGGAAGACCAUCAGGAAUGGUUUCAAAAUGAAAGCCAGGCAGGUUAUCAAGGGCAACAGGUCCUCCUGACCUAAGGAUACGUUUGUGAUUGAAUUCUGUGUUGACAAAUGUUAUGUGAAGGCCCUUACAGUGAAGAAGCUUUGCAAAUUUAAGCAUGGCCUUUAUAUCUCUCACUCAAUUCCCUUCUUCCUGGGUUGAUCACCAUGUUCACUCAUCAACGUACUUUAUAGCUGGAAAACACCCCCCACCCCUCAAUUAUUCUUAUAUUUGUGUCAUUUUCCAUGAGAUUACAAGGAUAUCCCUAAUUUUAGCUUGUGUUUAAAAGUAUGAUUGUAAUUAUUUUUUAAAUUAGUUUUUAUAUUAAAAUAUGUUAAAAUAAUAUAUUUUUUUUAUAAAAAUAAUUAUUUUUAAAAUUGAUGUAUCAAAACAAUUUAAAACACAAAAAAAAAAUUAAUUUUUAAUAAAAAAAUUAUUAUUUUUAAAAAUAUAGGAUAACUCGCGUUACCACGCAAGCUCCUCGUCGCAUAAAUGAAUGAAAUUACUUAGCCUAAUUGAUAUCUUCAUUUAAGAAGAUCAAUGAAAUUAGAAACUUGGAAAUUGUUUGGCUAUCUAAUCACAAAGUCAGUCGUGCUGAAGAUUAAUCGACGUUUUAACCACUUCCUUGAAAAAAUCACUUCAUCCUUGUCCCUGUCCCGCUUAUUUCACUUGAGAGCUGUGGAAAAAGCUAGAGAGGCAGAAAAUAUCUAAGACAUGUUCAUAGAAUAUUCAUUUCUGGCCACUUCUCAUAGAAUCAUUGAAGCCAAGAGGGUAUACUUACAGCUAUGGGAAUUGAAUGUAGGGCAGAAAUGUUUUUCACGUUUUUGUUUUUGGAAAAGAAUAGAUAAAAAUACAAAAUAAAUAUAUUUAAAAUAAUUUUAUUAUGAAUUUAUAUAUUCUUACAACAAAAAUAUUUUUUUUUAUUUCAAAACAGUAUCCAAUGACUAGUUGUUGGCUAUACUGGCAUAACAAGGGCUUAUGCAAUAAGGCACGACAACCUUCAUGCUUAGGAUCCCAAUGAUUAGUGGUUUUCGAAUAUAAUUUAAAAAGACCAUGAAAAUAUACUAUGUCACUGAUACAUAAGGUAUCUGUAAUUAAUAUCUUAGAGAAAGAAAAAAAACUAUGAGUAACUUUAUAAGUUUGACUUGAUAGAAAAAACGCUUGCUUAAUUUAUUUAAAUCUUCUUAGAUUUUAAUUUUAAAGUUAAUUUAUGGGCUCAACCCCACGUUGGGUCUAGACACGUUCAUGUUGGGAGUGGAAGCGACCGCGUCUAACUUCAUGUUGGACCUGGACGCGUCCACGCCCAACCUCACAUUGGUUUUUUUAAUAUAAUAAUGUAUGUUAUAAAUAUUAUUAUUUCUCUGAUAAUUCAAAGAGUUCGUAUAAAAAAUAUUAUUAUUUGUGUUAUAAAUAUUAUUAUUUUUAUUAUAACUCAAAGUAUUGAUAUAAAAAAUAUUAUUAUUUGUGUUAUAAUCAUCCUUUGAAUUCAUAAUAUAAUUAUUUAUGUGAUAAAUAUUAGUAUUUUUAUUAUAAUUCUAAAUAUACAUAUCAAAAAUAGUAUUAUUUGUCAAAAAUAUUAUUAUUUUUAUUAUAAUUAAUAGCAGGAACCAAUUCAAUGUUGGAUCCUGGAUCCUACCAUAUGCGUGUAGAACCCGAAAUACCUCUAGGUACUCACAUGUCCAAGAUCUAUAAUUGCUUUGAAUCCUCGUACCAAUUCCCAGACACACUCUUUCUACUAUUCAUUUAUUUUUUACAUUUCACAAAAACUUUUUUAUUCACUUGCUGCGAAAUGCGAGCUAAUAUGCUAGUUCUUAUCUAAAUGAAAUAAUAAUUUUUUAAUAAUAUUAACAGUUUAAAAAGAGAGACUGGUUGACAAAAAAAGAUCAAGCCCAGAGGACAUGAUUGAGAGGUGAAAAUUAGGUUAGGAUGCAAUCAAGUUUAGGGGAUUUGUUUAGGUUUGCCGACCGAUUUUCUUAUAAAUUUUUUGAUGAGUUUAGACAUGUGAAGGAAACAAUUGGUUUUAUUGGAUUGGAAGGAUUGCAAUGUAUUUAUCAUAUGAAAAAAUAAACAAAAAAGGGAAAGAAAUGGGGGACAAACUUGCUCAUCUACAGCAAUCCACAAGGCCUACAUGAUUAUUGCCAUAUAAGCCUGACCCUCUAGCUUUGAGAUAAGGUGUCCAUGUGGCAUCCAUUUAUUAGGUUAUAUCCAACUAGUUUAAAUUUUUGUCUUCAAAAUUAUUUUAGUAAUAUCUGUAUAUUAUUUUACGUUAAAAAAAUAAUAUCUCCAUUGACUAGUAAAUAUUUUUGCCUUUGUAUUAUUGCCAUGAUUAGUAAUUACCAGUCCUUGCUUAUAUAUUUGGCCCAAGCAGGGGGCUGAUAAGAGCAGGAUAUCAUCCAGGGAGAGAGAGAGAGAGAGAGAGAGGCUGCAAUAGGAAAGAGGCCGGCUGCUGCCUGUGAUCAUAUUUAACAGAUAUAGUCGUCCGAUCAUCGAUCUCUCCAAGGUCAGCCCUGGCUUGCUAGGUUUUUUUUUUUUUUUUUAAUAUAUAUAUAUAUAUAUAUAAAGUUUUGAUCAUGCGAAAUGCUGAUGCUGGUAACCUGGUUCCUUACUUGAACAACAGGUUCUUAAUGCUUUCUACCCGGACCUUUCUCCCUGAAAAUUAAGGCCCGGGUACUGUAGCUAACCUUUUUAAUGAAGAACAGAACUAGAUUCGACCUUUUUCGACCUUUUUCCUUUUGAAUAUGGUUUUUCUCCUAUAUUCUUUUUAUAUUUAUAUAUAUAUAUAUAUAUAUAUAUAUAUUUUAGUUUUGUUAUUAACACUUUUUAAAGUUUAAUAUAUAAAUAUUAGAAAAAUAUUUUAUUCUUUUAUGAGAUUUGAAACUUUUUAUUAAAUAUUUAUUUUAUAUUUUCAGAAAAAAAAUUAUUUUUUCAUGAUAAAAAAUUUGGUUUAAAUAUUUUAACUGAAAAUGAUAACAUAAUAUUUUUUUAAUGUGAAAUUUGAAACUCUUUAAUAUAUAUAUUUUAUAUUAAAAAAAAUUAUGUUUUUUUUAAUGUGGGAUAAAAAAAAAUUUUGGUUUAAAUACUUCAACUUUAAAGGAUAAUAUAAUAUCUUUUUAAUGUGGAAUAAAAAAACUUUUUAAAAUAUUCAUUUAAACUUUACUAUUUACAACAUAUAUAAUCUAUAUUUAUAAUUUUUUUUAAUUUUUUCAUAUGAAAUAUUCAAACGUUUAAUAUAUUUUUUUAAUUUUUUCAGGUUAAUCCAUAAAAUCUGAGAUCCGAUUUUGGUUUAAAUAUUUUUAGACGGAUCAAUCCUAAACCGGAUUUAAUAACUAUUUGUGUGUCAUGAAUUAGAAAGCAAUAGCAUCACCGAUAGACAAAGACAACAUGGACCAAAAAUAAUAAACUAAGACGACAUCAUCAUCAUGAUUAUGAGCAUUUUAAUAUCGAUUGAUGAAAGUUGAUUGAAACUUUUUUAUUAUUAUUAAUAUGAGGUGUUCAGGUGAGACUUGCUGUGACGACCAAAAAUUAUGUUGAACUGGACAAAUAUCCAACGAUCAUUCUAAAAUAGUGUGUUGUCUUUUAUUCUAGUUUUGGCAAGUUUUAAUUCAGACUUUCAUGCUUUACCUUUCUUUUUUGUUUUUCAGACUAUGUUUUUUUCUUUCAACUUGCUGGCACUAGCUCAUGAUACACCCUCUCGAUUACUAUAUAAAAGAAGAUGAGAAGUCAUAGAUUGAACUGCAUUCUCAAUCCAAAGAAAUUGAAUAGCAUAACUUAUUACUUAGGAGUGUUUCUUGCACAAUUUUAACUUAUGUUCCUUCUUGAUCAUGAUCUCUUAAUGAAGGAGAAAGGACGGGAUUUAAAAGUUUAGAAAUUAUGCUAUGCAUACAAAUAAAUUAUAUUAGAUUUGUAGUUGCAUUAUUGUGUUUAGUGAUGAGCAGUGAAGUACAAGUCUCGAGAAUAUUAAACAAUUGGACAAGAAUGAAGAGAGUAAUUAUCACAUUUUAUACAAGAAAUUUAUACGAUUUUCUUAUAGCAUCGCUCUUAAGAUUUACAUGUUGGUAAAAAGUGCCAUAAUAUUGUGAAAUAAUAAAGAAAUUGCUAUAUUAUUUUUGUUAAAAUAUAUCUCAAAAGUGCCUUAUUCUGGAAAAAAUAACACUCAAAAUUGAACUAUAUACCUGCCAUUCAUUCUUGGUUUUGUUUUGUUACCGAUCCAGAAUGGGAAAGGAUAAAUUUACCGCAAGUGAUUCAAACAUGAAAAAUGAUGUUGAAAGGGCAAGUGCAUCGAAUACUGAAGAGGACAAGGCAAGUGCUUCAGACAUUGACGAGGAUACAAACAAUGGGACAGGAAUGAUGUUUAGCCCAGAUUGGAGUCACACUUGGGAACAUCUGAAAGAAUUUAAGGAGCGGCCAUCGAAUACUGAAGAGGACAAGGCUGGUGAAUGCUGUAUCUACAAGGUUCCCAACUCACUUCGAGACAGAAAUCCGGAAGCCUUCUCUCCACAACUGAUUUCAAUAGGUCCUUUUCACCACAAUGAUGAAAGAUUGCAAGAGUCCAUGCCUAUGAAAUUUAGUUAUCAAGGAGAUUUCCUUAAAAGGAAUGACAUGGAGGAGAAGAGAUUUAUAGAUUUUCUAAGAAGAAUUCAGAAAAAAGAAGAGAGUAUCCGACUCUGUUAUUCAGAGAGUAUCCGACUCUGUUAUUCACGGAGCUGCUUGUGCUUCGAUAUAAAUUUUGUAAAGAUGAUCGUGCUGGAUGCUGUCUUCAUCAUUGAGUUUUUGAAGCAUUCAUAUAAAGAUGACUUUCCUCAAAAUCUUGAUACCAGGAUGAUAUCUUGCAUAGGAGAAGACUUGAUGCUACCUGAAAACCAACUACCUUUCUCCGUUAUCGACUCUAUAUAUAGCGAGUUUUAUCAAGAUGAACAAAACAUUACUUUUCUUGAUCUUGCCACCCGUCAUUUUGAAAAUUACCCAUUUGCACAAGGGCCAGAAUCCACACCACCGACAGAUGUAAGGCAUUUCACUGAUUUACUAAUGAAAUUAAUGUUGAAAGGAGCCCUCAAGCGAGAAAAUCGCUCUAAGCCUAUCAAGCUGAAAUAUAGCGCCGUCACGCUUCGCAAAGCAGGAGUGAAGUUUCAGGUGACCGAAGACAAGUGUUUGUUCAACGUGCAUUUUGAGAACGGAG